UACGAACCGUACAACCGUUAUUCGGAAUCACUGGGCUUAAAGGGUGCGUAGGCGGCCAUGUAAGUGGGGUGUGAAAUCCCUCGGCUCAACCGAGGAACUGCGCUCCAUACUGCAUGGCUUGAGGGAGACAGGGGUAAGCGGAACUGAUGGUGGAGCGGUGAAAUGCGUUGAUAUCAUCAGGAACACCGGUGGCGAAAGCGGCUUACUGGGUCUCUUCUGACGCUGAGGUACGAAAGCUAGGGUAGCGAACGGG
rnacentral:rRNA from 1 species